AAGCGGCUUGAAAGCUAAAAUUUACUUAUAUUAUGGUAUUAAAUAUUUCAUGUAAACUUACCCUAUUCUCUUAAAAAAUAGAAGAAAUCAUAAAAUAUAUUAAAAUUAAUCAGUGCACUUAGUUCUUUUGGGAGAACCUUUCUAGCUUGAAAAUUAGUAUUGUGAUUAGAUGAGAACAGUAUAAAACUUUGAAGAGUUAAUAUUAUGAAGUGGGAGAAAAAUUAGUCCUCGGGUUAUAUGGCCACAAGUAGUUUUGAGUUGAAACAUUGUGGCCCACAGAGCCAGAAAAGGCUUUCAGAGACAAUUUGUCCCUUUGGAUUUAGACCCCCAACUCUAGUGCCAAAUGACACCGUAGAAAUUUAUCUAGGCCAAAAAAGUAUUUACAAUCUGGGUGGCAUCACUUAAAUUGUAAGUUUACUUGGAACCAUUCUCUAUUUACUUGUUUGAACUUGAUUUAUUAAUCUAUUCCCUCUCCUCCAAUAUAGGUUUUUUUCUCUCCUAUACAUGCAACUUUUUUUCCCCUAGCUGUUGACAAGAACCCUAACUG